AUGAAUAGAAACAAAAGCACCUGGGACUGAUGCUGGCUCCCUCGGGGUAUGUGCACGUCUCAGGCUUUGCAUUUUCAAUUCGCUUUAAACUCUCUUGUGCAUUUGAUGUAGGUUGUCGAUGGCAAAGACAACCUAUGAUUUUAUUUGUCUUUGUACACACCUUGAUUUGCAUGUACAUGUACAUUUUUCUUAUGUGUGAUAACACAAAAUA
rnacentral:misc_RNA from 1 species